UGCACUUUUGAUAUACGACCUGAUAGAUGUCAACAGUCAUGCAAAGGAUGGGUCUGGUGUCACUGAUACUCGCCCUUGGGAAGCUGGAAGGGGAGAGAAGCUGGUGGGAUGCCGUGUUGCAGACAUCUUAGUGGGCCUUUGGGCACACAGUGUGGGAGGGAGACUGCGUGCAGUGCUGCUCGGGACCAGGAGUGCUCAUCUCAUAGUCAUAGCACCAUAGAACCAUGGAAUCAUAGAAUCAUAGAAUGGUUUGAGUUGGAAGGAAUCUUCAGGACCAUCCAGGCAGAGACACCUUCCACUAGAGAUGGAUGCCCAAAGCCCCAUCCAACAUGGACUUGAACACUUCCACAGAAGGGGCAUCUCCUUCCACACACGUGAAGGCAGCAUCCAGGUGAUGCAGAGAUUGUAGUGAAGAAGUUAACAAAUUGAAGAAGAAAUGAAAGCACGGAUGUUCAGAGGGAUUUGUAGGUGAAGAAGUCAAGGGCUUUGCCAGGUCCAGAACCAUGAGAGACAGCUGAACUACAGUAUGCAGAGGCUGACACUUAUGGAUCUCUACCAACACCUGCACGGCACUUCAGAUGUUAGGGAGACCUGGGUGUCAAUGUUUGAAGCUCGCUGUUAGGCACAAGCAUGAAUAGAAGUGUCCAUGAGGAGAAGAGCGUGGAUUUUUUUUAUGGAGGAUGGCUCUGAAUGUCAAGACUGACGUUUUCUCAAUCUGAACAAUGCUGCACACCAGCCUUGCUCUGGUUCCCACCAGCCCAAGCUACGCCGCAUCCCAGGUGUCAUGCACAAGCCAGGGACACGGCCCACAGGUGAAGUAAUGGGAGCUGACCUGCGGUGUGUAACAUGACCAGGGCAACACAGAGCAGCAUUGGGUGAAUUUAACACAGAGGGACGUGAGCAGAGCUCACCCUGCCUGGGCUGCACCAACCCUCCUGCUCCCUUCCCGCUGUUCCUCGAAAAACUCCCAGCCACAUACUGGCUUGAACUGAUCCCACUCAGUUCUUGGCAUUUAGCAUGCUCACAGACUGCAGUGAUUCAUAGAAAGCUCCUUGUUCUGGCCCUGGAAUGAGCGUACAUGUUUCAGAGCCUUUUUUCAUGCAGCUAUGCUGCAGUCUCCUAAAAAAUGCAUGUGCAGGCAGAUCGUUCUGCAAAUCCUAUGGCAACCGGCUGCACGGCGGCUGGCUGGCUGCAUGACAAUGUGCAAGGCUUGUGCAUGGAGAAUCGCCACACUCAGGGAAAAAAACUUCCUAGAAAUAUUAGUAUUCAGCACCCGCUACCAAGGUAUCAUAGCAAUACAGCAUGAUCCGACUGCUUGCAAUUAUUAUUCAUGUACAGUGGAAUAUGUAUUUUUUUAAAGCAGCAUUGUAAAUUAAUGUUAGCAAAAUGUAAUUUGUAAUUUAAAUGUAAAUCAGAAUUGACUAAGAAUAUAAUUAAGCUCUGAAUGCCUCGGUGGUAUUUGCUAGCCAGACUGUUUUGUGGUGCUUUUUUCACCAACAUGUUAAAGUUCAUUGUUCAUCCCGAAUACCUCAAAGUAUAUUAUCUGUAUACGU